rnacentral:rRNA from 1 species
GGGCGAGAGACCGAUAGCAAACAAGUACCGCGAGGAAAGAUGAAAAGGNCUUUGAAAAGAGAGUCAAAAAGUGCUUGAAAUUGUCGGGAGGGAAGCGAAUGGGGGCCGGCGAUAUGCCUCGGUCGGAUGUGGAUCGGUUAUAGCNGGUCUACCAAUCGACUCGGGGUGUGGAUCGGUGCGGAUUGGGACGGAGGCCAAAGCCCGGGUAAUUGUUAGAUCUGUGGAGAUGCCUUCGCCCCAAUUGUGGCUGGCAGCGUGCGCUUUUUUGGCGUACUUCGGUAUCUGCACGCUCCCGGCACUGACUAGUGGGCUCUCCAUUCGGCCCGUCUUGAAACACGGACCAAGGAGUCUGACAUGUGUGCGAGUCAACGGGUGAGUAAACUCGUAAGGCGCAAGGAAGCUAAUUGGUGGGAUCCCCUAGUGGGUUGCACCAUCGACCGACCGACCUUGAUCAUUUGAGAAGGGUUCGAGUGUGAGCAUGCCUGUCGGGACCCGAAAGAU